rnacentral:tRNA from 1 species
GCCUUGCUAGCUCAAUCGGUAGAGCGUGAGACUCUUACACCAGAUGCAUCUCAAGGUUGCGGGUUCGACCCCCGCGUGAGGCU